rnacentral:sRNA from 1 species
AAGUCAUCUUAAUAAUGUAUUCCAAAAAUGGUUUUGUUUUCUCACCUCUAGUUCUUGAGUACACUAAUGGGAUCUUUAUCUUCAGAAAAGCUGCUAAUAUAAAACACAAUGCCUUAUCACUAACAAAUCAAAUUAGAUAUAAUCUAAGCAGGUGUAUUUGAGCAGGAAAAAAAACACAUUAGAGCCACCUGAAUCUAGAUAUGAUCUAUGAUUUUGAGAGCAUUCAGUUUUGCUCUCAAGAUCAGUGACAUAAUCUUUACUAUAUAUUGUUAUUUUUAAGGCAUGUGCAGUUUUGUAACAGCAAUACAAUGCAGGUAUGUACACUUCAUUGUAAAUAACCAUUCUGGUGAAAAAAGGCUUUCAAUGACUUUGGACAAGUAAAUGAUUCUUGGUACAAAAUCAUACUUCUUUGGUAUUUAUGAAAAAAAAGGAAGGUGUUUUAACUCUGAGCACCCAAUUCCUGGUGCUCCAUUUAAGUAUUUAAGAUGUUUCUAAUUAGGGUUGAGUCUUGUUGUGAACAGCUAGUGAAAUACUAACAUGGGAGGGCAAGUUUUAUGAGCAUUAAUAAAUUGAACACAAAUUAUCUGUUACAGAGUCUACAAAGAGCUAUAGAUAAAAAGUACAGCAAAAUGAUUUCACGAAAUCAAUAUUUUAUUCAGUGUCAAAGCAUCUUAACUGAAUUGUAUGCUUAUGCUGUCAAGUUACCAGAAAGAAAAUGAGAAGUUACAUUGCUUGUCAUGAGUUGGAUGGUGAUAGUCACAACUGUAAAAACAGUGCAGAUAAUGAUGGUUGCAGGGCCCCUCUUCAAUGGAGGCAUUGCCAGCCUUCUGGCCAUGAAGGAGAAAGUGAUUUCAACUAACCCAGGAAACUCUUACCUCUAAAUGGAGAUACUUCC